rnacentral:siRNA from 1 species
ACCUUGUGGCCGUAGAGAGACACA